rnacentral:rRNA from 1 species
UAGUCCACGCCGUAAACGAUGGAUACUAGCUGUCCGGGGCCUUGAGUCCUGGGCGGCCAAGCGAAAGUGAUAAGUAUCCCACCUGGGGAGUACGUUCGCAAGAAUGAAACUCAAAGGAAUUGACGGGGGCCCGCACAAGCGGUGGAGCAUGUGGUUUAAUUCGAUGAUACGCGAGGAACCUUACCAGGGCUUAAAUGUAGAUUGACAGGACUAGAGAUAGUUUUUCCUUCGGGCAAUUUACAAGGUGCUGCAUGGUUGUCGUCAGCUCGUGCCGUGAGGUGUCAGGUUAAGUCCUAUAACGAGCGCAACCCCUGCCGUUAGUUGCCAGCAUGUUAUGAUGGGGACUCUAGCGGGACUGCCGGUGCAAACCGUGAGGAAGGUGGGGAUGACGUCAAAUCAUCACGGCCCUUACGUCCUGGGCCACACACGUGCUACAAUGGUCGUGACAAAGAGUUGCUAGUCUGCGAAGGCAAGCCAAUCUCAUAAACGCGGCCUUAGUUCGGAUUGCAGG